CAAGUGAAUUCGGCUAUGGUACUGUUCGCGCUUCUGGAAGGAUUUUGUCAGGACUCUUUCUGUCUUUUGAAAUAAGAGAUGUUCCACCAACGAUCAGCAGGUAUCUUGAGCAAAUGUGUGGGUAAGUGGAUACAUAUCUUGUUGUAUACAUGGGACUGGGUGAGCUAGAAGUCCACUUACACUCCAACAUCUGGGCACUGAUAAAUCGACACUAUUUUUUUAAGAUAUCAAUCACAGAAUUGUGCUUCUUGUUUAGACGUCUGUUUAGGGCAUCCAUAGUGGGAGAGAGGGUCAGAAGACUCCAGGUUUGCCAUUGUGUUGAUAUCAUACUUGCAGCCUUCGAAAUGAUUUAUAGAUUGAAUUAGAUAUUAUGAGGUUUGUAUCCAAAUAAAAUCAUUUCUUAAACCAUCUAAAUCUAAUUACAAACCACUGUUGCCAAUGUUGGGUACCAGCUUGUCAAGUCUAUAGGUACAAAAACAGUGAAUUGAUAAA